ensembl:lncRNA
AGAGAAACUGGGCUUGGCGUACGGAGGGGGCAGAGAGGAGGAGAGAGAGACAGAGUGUCUGGCUGCAUGUGUCGGGGCUGGACACAGGAGGACAGAGGUUUUAUGAUCUUCAGCUGGGAGGUCAGUCACAGUACCAAGAGCACAAGUAGAGGGCAAACGCGUCAAAGCCAGGAUCAGCUGCUUUGGCUACUUCUAGAUUUCCUAGUCUUUUAAAGGCCUACAGUAUGUGUGUGCUCUCCACUAAGAGCAGGAGAGGACAACCCCACAGUCAACAUCCAUGUAAACACUCCUAAACAACACACACCAUCAAAGCUGCCACCAUCUCCCUUAAGCUGAAACACAAGCCAUUCAUACCCGACUGAGAUGAUGAUUGACGGCCUGGGACUAUACCUGUUGUUCCAGUGAUCCCCUUAGGAACCAGUUCAAUGGCUUCUAAUUUGGAAUCGGAAGGUACUGCACAUUCUGAUCUGACUCUGAUUGGUCAACCAUGAGUGACAGCAGAGAGGACCCUCCUCCUCAGACACAGGGUUCUGGAGGAGACAGAAAGCAUCACACCCUUCUCUUCUUCCCCAUCCAUCCUUUCUCCUCCUCCAUCCAUCUCUCAGCUUGACGUGCAGAGGGUGGAUCCUGUAGUAGAUGUUGAGGUUCAGACAGCAGGUGAAAGAAUGCUGAGGGUGAGGCAGAUCCUCAGGGCUUGGGCCUGAGCAGACAGAGAGUACAGAGUGGCAGCAGUCCAGGCCAAGCGGGCAGGAGACAUGGAGCUAGCCAGACGUUACUAUCGGACAGCAAAGAAAUUAGAGGUGAUGGUUGAAGAGGCAUCUGAGAGGAGUGAGUGGUCAUCAGCUCUAUACCACCCCUCCUGGUGUCAAGAACAGAAGACAAGAUACAAGUCCACUCCCAGCCCCUCCCAGCCCCUCCUGGAGCCUCAGACCAGUACAACCAGCUGACAGAGGUCCUCACACAGCAAUAACAGAAGUGUCUGUGCCAGCUGUUCACCCACAUGGGGGAGAUCACUGAGACAACUAGAGCUCAGUGAGGAUUUUAAGAUGGACAUCAAACGAACUCGCCGUAGAUUUAAGAGUCAUCCAGUCCAAAGGC